rnacentral:tRNA from 1 species
GUUAAGUUAGUUUAAACAAAAUAUCAGCCUGUGGAUUUGAAGAUGAAAUUAUUUUCACUUAACC